CCCCAGAGUCCUACUGUAUCAGAGGUUGUGGUAUAGCUAAUCCCCAGAGUCAUACUGUAUCAGAUGUUGUGGUAUAGCUAAUCCCCAGAGUCAUACUGUAUCAGAGGUUGUGGUAUAGCUAAUCCCCAGAGUCCUACUGUAUCAGAGGUUGUGGUAUAGCUAAUCCCCAGAGUCCUACUGUAUCAGAGGUUGUGGUAUAGCUAAUCCCCAGAGUCAUACUGUAUCAGAUGUUGUGGUAUAGCUAAUCCCCAGAGUCAUACUGUAUCAGAGGUUGUGGUAUAGCUAAUCCCCAGAGUCAUACUGUAUCAGAGGUUGUGGUAUAGCUAAUCCCCAGAGUCAUACUGUACCAGAGGUUGUGGUAUAGCUAAUCCCCAGAGUCAUACUGUAUCAGAGGUUGUGGUAUAGCUAAUCCCCAGAGUCAUACUGUAUCAGAGGUUGUGGUAUAGCUAAUCCCCAGAGUCAAAUAUUAAGAAAUAAAUGGAUCUGGCUAAACCUAAAUCAGACUUGCCUGUACUAAUGAUUUUCACAGACGAAGUAGAAUGACACAAUGACACUU